UCCAACUACUUGAUUUCAAACCAAGUAGAUUUUAUGUUUAGAAACACUAGGAAAAAAGGUGUUUCAUUUAUAAAUAUAUAAGGAACAAAAAUAACACUGUAUCAAGCCACAUAAAAAAUUAAAUAUUUUUGAGGACAAAAAUAUAAAAUUUAGUCAACUCUACUGUUUUCUAGGCUGAUAAAUAUCACAGUAUUUGCAAAUACAGCUAAAAAUGCAACCUUUGAAAGCUGUACUUCUAGUCAUUUCCCACUGACCAUUUUGUAAUUCUGCAUGUUGUUUUAUGGAUAGCAAUAUGCUUCACUGUGUAUGUCUGGAAACCUGUAACAGUUCUCAUU